rnacentral:rRNA from 1 species
AAUCAACGCUGGCGGCGUGCCUCAGACAUGCAAGUCGAACGCGAAAGUCCCCUUCGGGGGACAAGUAGAGUGGCGCACGGGUGAGUAACACGUAGGUAAUCUACCUUUGGAUGGGGAAUAACAACCGGAAACGGUUGCUAAUACCGCAUAAUGCAGCGGCACCUAAUGGUGACAGUUGUUAAAGCGGGGGAUCGAAAGACCUCGCGUCUGAAGAGGAGCCUGCGGCGGAUUAGCUAGUGGUAAGGUAAUGGCUUACCAAGGCUACGAUCCGUAACCGGCCUGAGAGGGCGGUCGGUCACACUGACACUGACAUACGGGUCAGACUCCUACGGGAGGCAGCAGUCGGGAAUUUUGGGCAAUGGGCGAAAGCCUGACCCAGCAACGCCGCGUGAAGGAUGAAAUCCCUCGGGAUGUAAACUUCGCAAGAACGGGAAGAAUAAGCGAGAGUUAAUAUCUUUCGUGAUGACGGUACCGUUUGUAAGCUCCGGCUAACUCCGUGCCAGCAGCCGCCGUAAU